rnacentral:rRNA from 1 species
UCUUAUGUACAUGCCUAUAGUGUUAAUGUACAUGAUCCCAUCAGAACUUCAUAGUUAACUGCACUUGGGCUACAGUAGUACUAGGAUGGGUGACCUCCCAGGAAGUCCUAGUGUUUUACAUGCC